AAGGUUUUAUUUAAUGGUAUUGUAAAUUUAAAUUAUAAAUUUUUUAAUUAAAAAAUUAUUUAUCAUUAAAUGUUUUAGUAGUUUAAUAUUAUGAAAAAAUAAAUUUUAUUUUAUAGUUAAAAGUAUUGUAAAAGAAUAUUGAAAUAAUUUGAAAAAUAAUUUUAAUAAAAGAAAAAAUUAAUUUUUGUUCCUUGUGUAUCAGGAUUUAUUAAAAUAAAAAAUUUAAAAAAAAUUAAUUUUUAAUUUAAAAGAUUUAAAUUCUUAUAAUUUUUAUUGUAGUAUUAAUAUGAAUUAUUAGUUUUUUGAAAUGAAAAGUUAUUCGUUUUUAAAUUUAUAUAAUUUUUAAAGAAAUAAAUUUAAUUUAAUAAAAAAAUAUAAUUAAUUUUUAAUUUUAUAAAGUUUUUAAUGUUUUUUUAUAAUAAUUUAAGGGUUGAGCUUUAAAUUAAAUUUUUAAAAGUUUAUUUUUUUUAAAAAAAAUUAUAUUCUUAAAAAUAGAAAUUAAAAAAUAAAAUGUUUUAAUAAAUUUUUGGUUUAUGAAAUUUAAUUGUUAAUAUUUAAAUUUUAAUUAAGAUAAUUUGAUAUAAUUAUUUUAUUUUUUUUUAUUUAAAUUAAUAAAAAAAUUUAGAAAUUAUUUGAAUAAUUAUAAAAUAAGUAAAUUUAAUUUUUAAAUUAUAUUAUUAAGUUAUAAAAAGAAAAAAAAUUAAAUAUUAUUUUUAUGAAUUCGGCAAUAAUUAUUUUUAAAUGUUUAUCAAAAACAUUGUUUUUAAAAAUUUUUUAAAAAUAAGGCCUGCACACUGAAUUUUAAAGAGCCGCGGUAAUUUGACCGUGCAAAGGUAGCAUAAUCAUUAGUUUUUUAAUUGAAGACUGGAAUGAAAGGUUAAAUAAGAAAUAUUCUUUAUUAAAGUAAAAUAAUUGAAUUUGUUUUUUUAGUAAAAAAACUAAAAUAAAAAAAAAAGACGAUAAGACCCUAUAAAGCUUUAUAAUAAAAAUUUAUUAAUUUUUUAGAAUAAUUAAUUUUUUAAAUUUGGGUUAUUUAAUUGGGGUGAUUUUAAGAUUUAAAAAACUCUUAAUUUUAAAUUUAAUUAUUUUUAAUUUGUUUAUUGAUCUUUAAAAAAAAUAUUUGGAUUAAAAAAAUAAGUUACUUUAGGGAUAACAGCGUAAUUUUUUUAAAGAGUUCAUAUCGAUAAAAAAGAUUGCGACCUCGAUGUUGAAUUAAGAGAAAAUUUUAGGUGUAGAAGUUUAAAAUUUUAGUCUGUUCGACUUUUAAUUUCUUACAUGAUUUGAGUUCAAACCGGUUUAAGCCAGGUUGGUUUCUAUCUUUUUUUAGUAAUAUUAUAUUUUAGUACGAAAGGACCAAAUAUAAAAAUUUUUUUUUGUUUUGUAAAAAUAUAAAUAAUAAAAAAAAUUUAAUUAAAAAAUUUUUAAAUUUUGAUAAAAAUUGUAAACUAAAUAUA
rnacentral:rRNA from 1 species